rnacentral:tRNA from 1 species
GCCUUCGUCAGUGGUAGAUCGUACCGGCCGCGAGUCUUUAUUGGAUUCUCUUCCUUGCGACUGCGGGGACGCGGGUUCGAAUCCCGCCGAAGGCA